CCCAGCCGUGGGGACUUGGGGGGGACUCGGACUGGGCUGGUUGAAAUGCCCGCAGGGGCGCUGCUGAGACGGGCGUGUCCAUCUGCCCAGGCUGAAGUGGGUGCUCCCUGCGGGCUCAUUGCCUAGGAUGCCCAUCCGCGCCCACUGCACCAUCUGCUCUGACUUUUUCGACAACCAGCGGGACGUUGCCGCCAUCCACUGCGGGCACACCUUCCACCAGCAGUGUCUCAUCCAGUGGUUUGACACUGCACCGAGUCGGACUUGUCCACAAUGCAGAAUCCAGGUCAGCAAAAGACACAUCAUCAAUAGGCUGUUCUUUGAUGUAGCCCUGGAGGAGCAGACGUCAGUGGAUGCAGAAAGCCUACAGAAUGAACUGGACAGGGUGAAAGCGCAGCUCUCGGCCAAAGACAAGGAGAAGCGAGACUGCCAGUCGAUCAUAGACGCGCUGAGGGAGACGGUGGAUCUUCGCAAUGCCACCGUCGAGUCGCUGCAGAAAGCCCUUGGGGAGACGGAGAUGCUGUGUUCCACUCUCAAGAAACAAAUGAAGUACCUGGAGCAGCAGCAGGAAGAUGCCAAAGGUGCAAAAGAGGAGGCCCGAAGGCUCCGAAACAAACUGAAAACCAUGGAGAGGGUUGAGCUGCUCCUGCAGAGCCAGCGCCCGGAGGUGGAGGAGAUGAUCCGGGACAUGGGAACGGGGCCGGCAGCAGUGGACCAGCUUGCAGUCUACUGUGUCUCGCUGAAAAGGGAAUAUGAAAAUCUGAAAGAGGCUCGGAAGGCGUCUAGUGAGGUGACUGAGAAGCUGAAAAAGGAGCUGUUCUCUGCCAAUCAUACGCUGCAGAAAACGCUCUUGGAGCUGGAGAAGAUGAAGGAGGAGCUAAAAAGCACCCAGAAGGAUCUGAGCACUGCAGACAAGGAGAUCCUGAGUCUGAAGAAGAAGAUUGGAAUCUUGCAGGAAACCCUGAAGGUGCCGUCUGCAACCAGCGAGACCCUCAGCCGGCUGGUCUUCGAAAGCCCUGCUCCCAUGGAGCUGCUGAGCCCAAAGCUCCACCGCCCGGCCCACAGCGACAAGAUCGACUUGGACGCCACCUUUGACGUAGAGACCCCUGAGCACGCGCCUCGCAAGCCAGUCCUAGCCCCUGCGAAAAGACCCAAGCUGGAUAGAAAGCUGCCUCCCGCGCCGAGCCUCGCCCAGAGCGUUCUGAAGGAAAGCGUGGAGAACUGGGCCAGCGAGCCGGAGGACGACCCACGAGAAGAGCUCUUCCCUGCCUUCAUCAGGAACUCGGUUCUUUCCAGGAAGCUGCCCAUGGGCAGCCUGAUGGGGCCACGUACGAACACGGGAACCGUGAGUAUGAGCCCAGCACCAGCUCCCUGCCCUCCAAAGGUGGGCGCUUCUCGGGUCGCUAUAGGCCCUGUGGCCCGCGGCACGCGCCAGGCGGGAGUGAAUGAGAACGACUUGCUUUCCUGUAGAGACCUCCCUUUAGGGCCUCCGUCUCCCCGUGGUCCCCCCAGCCACGUGCCAUAGCCCUCCGCUGCGGCCCUGUGCACCCCACUGCUGUAGCUCUCGGAGCUUCGUGCAUCUCCCUCCCCUUCCCCAGGGAGCGGGUGCAGGUCUUGGCCCUGUUUGCAUAAGGGAGGGGCUGUCCGUUUUGGCAGCUUCCACCAGACUGUGCCCAAGUGCUUCAAAAGUGACUUUGGGGCCAACUGGGAGACUCAGAGGGUCCUGAGUGUGAGGCAGGGCUGUCCUCAGGCACACACUGUGGUGCCCCAGAUACAGUGCCCCAUGCUGCGUGUACCUAGGGCCACCAAGUCCCCCUCCUCAUGCUGCUCCAGCUGGCUCCCCCCACCAACCUCCCUGCCCCCAUAGCCCCAAGCACAGCCCCGCCCCAUGGAGUGGCUCCACCCCAAGCGGGAUAGAGGAUGCAGGAGCUUGGGCUGAGCAGGGUACCAAAAACCCUAAGGACGUCCCUGUCUCGGUUCAUUGCUCGGCAUUUCCUGGAACUCGGCUGCUUUGUCAGGUCGGGCCUCUUAUUUGCUGGUCGGCUUUGGCUGCAGCGUUCUCCACGUCAGGGCCUGGAGCUGCCCCUCCCUCCCAG